rnacentral:rRNA from 1 species
UUCCGGUUGAUCCCGCCAGAGGUUACUGCUAUCGGUGUUCGCCUAAGCCAUGCGAGUCAUAUGUAGCAAUACAUGGCGUACUGCUCAGUAACACGUGGAUAACCUGCCCUUGGGACCGGCAUAACCCCGGGAAACUGGGGAUAAUUCCGGAUAACGCAUAUUUGCUGGAAUGCUUUAUGCGUCAAAAGGAUUCGUCUGCCCAAGGAUGGGUCUGCGGCCUAUCAGGUAGUAGUGGGUGUAAUGUACCUACUAGCCAGCGACGGGUACGGGUCGUGAGAGCAAGAGCCCGGAGAUGGAUUCUGAGACAUGAAUCCAGGCCCUACGGGGCGCAGCAGGCGCGAAAACUUUACAAUGCGGGAAACCGUGAUAAGGGGACACCGAGUGCCAGCAUCAUAUGCUGGCUGUCCGGAUGUGUAAAAUACAUCCGUUAGCAAGGGCCGGGCAAGACCGGUGCCAGCCGCCGCGGUAACACCGGCGGCCCGAGUGGUGAUCGUGAUUAUUGGGUCUAAAGGGUCCGUAGCCGGUUUGGUCAGUCCUCCGGGAAAUCUGAUAGCUUAACUAUUAGGCUUUCGGGGGAUACUGCCAGACUUGGAACCGGGAGAGGUAAGAGGUACUACAGGGGUAGGAGUGAAAUCUUGUAAUCCCUGUGGGACCACCUGUGGCGAAGGCGUCUUACCAGAACGGGUUCGACGGUGAGGGACGAAAGCUGGGGGCACGAACCGGAUUAGAUACCCGGGUAGUCCCAGCCGUAAACGAUGCUCGCUAGGUGUCAGGCAUGGCGCGACCGUGUCUGGUGCCGCAGGGAAGCCGUGAAGCGAGCCACCUGGGAAGUACGGCCGCAAGGCUGAAACUUAAAGGAAUUGGCGGGGGAGCACAACAACGGGUGGAGCCUGCGGUUUAAUUGGAUUCAACGCCGGG